rnacentral:rRNA from 1 species
GUACGGCGAGUGAGCGGUACAGCUCAAUUUGAAAUCUGGCCUCACGGUCCGAGUUGUAAUUUGUAGAGGAUGCUUCGAGCAUGGUCUGGCCUAAGUUCCUUGGAACAGGACGUCAUAGAGGGUGAGAAUCCCGUAUGCGGCCAGGUGCCUACGCUCAUGUGAAGCUCCUUCGACGAGUCGAGUUGUUUGGGAAUGCAGCUCAAAAUGGGUGGUAAAUUUCAUCUAAAGCUAAAUAUUGGCCAGAGACCGAUAGCGCACAAGUAGAGUGAUCGAAAGAUGAAAAGCACUUUGGAAAGAGAGUUAAACAGUACGUGAAAUUGUUGAAAGGGAAGCGCUUGCAACCAGACUUGCGCGCGGCCGAUCAUCCGGUGUUCUCACCGGUGCACUCGGCCGUGCUCAGGCCAGCAUCGGUUUUGGCGGCUGGAUAAAGGCCCUAGGAAUGUAGCUCCUCUCGGGGAGUGUUAUAGCCUAGGGUGCAAUGCAGCCUGCUGGGACCGAGGACCGCGCUUCGGCUAGGAUGCUGGCGUAAUGGUUGUAAGCGGCCCGUCUUGAA